AAGCAUAUCAAUAAGCGGAGGAAAAGAAACCAACAGGGAUUGCCUUAGUAACGGCGAGUGAAGCGGCAAAAGCUCAGAUUUGAAAUCUGGUGUCAAAUUGAUACCCGAGUUGUAAUCUGUAGAGGAGUUUUUCGGAGUAUGGCUUUGGUUAAAGUUCCUUGGAAAAGGGCAUCAUAGAGGGUGAGAAUCCUGUUUGUGACCUUAUCUAUCUCCAUUAUGAAUCUCCUUCAAUGAGUCGAGUUGUUUGGGAAUGCAGCUCUAAAUGGGUGGUAAAUUCCAUCUAAAGCUAAAUAUUGGCAAGAGACCGAUAGCGCACAAGUAGAGUGAUCGAAAGAUGAAAAGAACUCUGAACAGAGAGUUAAAGAGUACGUGAAAUUGUUGAAAGGGAAGCACUUGUGACCAGACAAAUUUGCAAUUAAUCAGCCAUCAAUUUUUUGAUGGUGCACUUAAUUGCAGGUGGGUCAGCAUCAGUUAUAGCAGUGGAAAAAAGACCAAAGGAAUGUAGCUCCUCUUUGAGGAGUGUUAUAGCCUUUGGUUUAAUACUGCUUGCUAUGACUGAGGAAAGCACUUCUUGUAAGGAUGCUGACAUAAUGGUCAUAAGUGACCCGUCUUGAAACACGGACCAAGGAGUCUAACAUCUAUGCGAGUGUUUGGGUUCAAGCCCUUAUGCAAAAUGAAAGUGAAUGGAGGUGGAAACCAUUAGGUGCACCAUCGACCGAUCUUGAAGUUUUCUGAUGGAUUUGAGUAGGAGCAUAGCUGUUGGGACCCGAAAGAUGGUGAACUAUGCCUGAAUAGGGUGAAGCCAGAGGAAACUCUGGUGGAGGCUCGCAGCGGUUCUGACGUGCAAAUCGAUCGUCAAAUUUGGGUAUAGGGGCGAAAGACUAAUCGAACCAUCUAGUAGCUGGUUCCGGCCGAAGUUUCCCUCAGG
rnacentral:rRNA from 1 species